rnacentral:rRNA from 1 species
UACGUAGGUGGCAAGCGUUGUCCGGAUUUACUGGGCGUAAAGAGCGCGCAGGCGGUCGUCCAAGUCGCGUGUGAAAGCCCCCAGCUCGACUGGGGAGGGUCACGCGAUACUGGUCGACUCGAAGGCAGGAGAGGGUAGUGGAAUUCCCGGUGUAGUGGUGAAAUGCGUAGAUAUCGGGAGGAACACCAGUGGCGAAGGCGACUACCUGGCCUGUUCUUGACGCUGAGGCGCGAAAGCUAGGGGAGCAAACGGG